UACGUAGGGCGCGAGCGUUGUCCGGAAUUAUUGGGCGUAAAGAGCUCGUAGGCGGUCUGUCGCGUCUGCUGUGAAAAUCCGGGGCUCAACCCCGGACUUGCAGUGGGUACGGGCAGACUAGAGUGUGGUAGGGGAGACUGGAAUUCCUGGUGUAGCGGUGAAAUGCGCAGAUAUCAGGAGGAACACCGAUGGCGAAGGCAGGUCUCUGGGCCAUGACUGACGCUGAGAAGCGAAAGCAUGGGGAGCGAACAGG
rnacentral:rRNA from 1 species